rnacentral:lncRNA from 8 species
UCUUCAUUUACAGAUUUCUUUCAACAAAAAUAAGGUUGAAACAAGGUUGAAACAAGGUUUAACUAAACAUGCUGUAGAGGUGAAUGACACUGGUAGCCACUGCAUUGCAUUGGUCAUUGAUUGGCAGUGCACGGUUCUCUAUCCCCUGGGUCCUCUCAGUCACACACCCAGAGAGACCCAGAGAGACCGACAGCAUGAGGCUCGGGCUGAUACUCCUGCUAGCCAGGCUAGCUACUAAGUUUGCUGCAGAGGAGUCAUGCGUGGACCGCUGGGAGAAUGGCUUCGACUCCAAAAAGAAUUACCAGUGUGACACCAUGUGUCGGCACUACAAGAGCUGCUGCUCAGACUACGAGACCGCAUGUCGUAUGAAAAUCCCCAACCACCACGGUGGGCAUCGGUUCAUCAACAAGGACUGGAUCAGCAUCAAGUCCCCAGUGGACGCUGUCUUGACAGGGAGACUCUACAUCACCCCCAGGCCACUGGCCGCACCCCUACCCCUACCCCCACCACCUUUACCCCCUUUACGGGACCGCAAUGACGGGAGGCGCCAGCCAUGGGACCAACAGUGGGGGCAGUAUGGCCAACAAUAUGGCCAACAGGGUCAGCAAAAUGGACAACAAUAUGGACAACAAGGGCUACAAAAUGGACAGCAAUAUGGACAACAAUAUGGACAACAAGGGCAACAAUGGACAGCAAUAUGGACAACAAUAUGGACAAGGGCAACAAAAUGGACAGCAGUGGGACCAGCAGUGGGUCCGACGCAGAAAUAGACACCAGUCUUACUGGGGUGCCGGGACGGUAAUGGAUAUGGGGCAGGCGCUCGCAGAGAAGGGGAUGGAUAUGGGGAAAGGAUUCACAGAGAGGGGGAUGGAUAUGGGGAAAGGAUUCACAGAGAGGGGGAUGGAUAUGGGGAAAGGAUUCACAGAGAGGGGGAUGGAUAUGGGGAAAGGAUUCGCUGAGAGGGGGAUGGAUAUGGGGAAAGGAUUCACAGAGAGGGGGAUGGAUAUGGGGAAAGGAUUCACAGAGAGGGGGAUGGAUAUGGGGAAAGGAUUCGCUGAGAGGGGGAUGGAUAUGGGGAAAGGAUUCGCUGAGAGGGGGAUGGAUAUGGGGAAAGGAUUCACAGAGAGGGGGAUGGAUAUGGGGAAAGGAUUCGCUGAGAGGGGGAUGGAUAUGGGGAAAGGAUUCACAGAGAGGGGGAUGGAUAUGGGGAAAGGAUUCACAGAGAGGGGGAUGGAUAUGGGGAAAGGAUUCGCUGAGAGGGGGAUGGAUAUGGGGAAAGGAUUCGCUGAGAGGGGGAUGGAUAUGGGGAAAGGAUUCGCUGAGAGGGGGAUGGAUAUGGGGAAAGGAUUCACAGAGAGGGGGAUGGAUAUGGGGAAAGGAUUCGCAGAGAGGGGGAUGGAUAUGGGGAAAGGAUUCGCUGAGAGGGGGAUGGAUCUCGGGCGGAAGCUGGCGGAGGGUGGGACAUGCGCCCGACGGAUGACAGGGACGAAGACAGAGACAGGGAUAGAAGGAGGGAUAACCAGGACAGGAGAAGAGAUGUAUACAACUAUGACUCCAGAUACAACGCUGAGGAGAGGUGCCUACUGGGAGUUUGUCAACAAGGGCCAGCCAGUGCAGAGCGUCUACUUCUUCAAGGGAGAUAAAUACUACAGAGUGGAUCUGAAGACCAAGAAAGUGGACCCAGCCAGUCCUCCUUACCCCAGGUCCAUCAGCAAGUACUGUCUGAGCUGUCCUGAAAAACACCUGGGGGCCGAGAAGAAAUAGUUUCACAACUGGAUAAAGAAACGUAUACAGUAUUUAAAACGUGUACAUCAAAGACUCAAAUAGACAGUAAUUUGAAGCUAAAUAAUUUGAACAAUCACUUGACAAAAAUGUUCUGUUGUGAGGACAUUUAUGUUUGUACCUGGAAUCUUUAUAUGUAAUACUUUUACAAUUAAACACAAUCUAACUGUAAAGGGUACACACAUGUUAUUAAGGGGAUUGAAAUGAAUUGCCUGUAGCUCUUCCUAUCCCUUAUUGGAUAUCAAUGAAAGCCCACCCACCUCUGUUCCCCGCCCCCAGUCUGACUGAUUUGGGGCAAAGUUCAGCUGGUUGGUGUUUAUCUGUCCUCUAUGGAGUUUGACAGGGUUCCCAUAUAACAAAUACUAUAAUAUACUAUGGUCUAAAUACUGCAGUAUUACUAUAUUUAUAUAAUGUAGUAUUCACUGUAGUGUUUUUGCAGUCUUUACUGUAGUAUUCACUGUAGUGUUUACUGUAGUAUACUGUAGUAUUUACAGAAUAGAAUAAAUACUGUACUGAAAGAAAACUGUAGUAUAUACUAUAGUAAUUCAUGUAGUGUUUUUGCAGAUUGUAAUAUACUGUAGUAUUUACUGUAGUGUUUUUGCUGACUGUAGUAUUUACUGUAGUGUUUUUGCGGACAUUAGUGUAAUAUUUAUUUUUGUGUGUAGUAUUUACUAUAGUGUUUUUGUUUUAUUAUCUUUGACAUAGAAGUGUAGGCUUUCACAGUGUGUAAUAUAGUAUUCUACAGUAUACUAAAGAAUUCUAUAGUAAAAUGUAGCAAUCUCUCCUCUCUAUUAUCUGACCCAGUUCACCAGACGAGCCUUUAAAGGUUGGAUUGACAGUGUGAAACAGAAACACUACUACCACCUAGUGAAUGACAGGCUAGAAAGACAUCAACAAACACAACUUUGGACUACCAGGUCUCCAUUUCCUGACUGCAGCGCUUUCAGUGGAGUAUGAUAUGGAGCUGUUUUCGGCUGCGUAGAAGGACAUGUUAUGUGGGAGGCAAGCUUAACAGUGAUCAAGAGGACAGAGGCUUAGCAAAACCUACAGAUAGUAAAUAGACUAUGCCAGGUAGCAAUAAGACACUGUUCUGCAUUCUUUCACAUGACAACUCAAUUCCACUUGAAUUUGACAGUGAACACGGUCCACACUUGUUGAUUCCCUGCUGAUUUAAAAAAAAAAAUUCAAACAUUAGAUUAAAGAAGAUCAAGUAAUCAAUCAUCCAUUCUAACCCUGUCUGUCAACCCCUCCUUAUAUCAUGUACAAGCAGAGGGGGAGUGGUCACCAUAGAGAUAAAUAUUGUAUCUACAGUUAUGUCUAUGGUGGCUAAUUUCCUUUUCUAUGUAAAUGCCCACAUGUAACCAAAAUGCUCUCAAUUCUACUGGCAGCUGACAGACACCAUAAUAUACAUACAUCAUAUACAUGGCAGGUAUUCAACCAGGCAUUGUUUUGUUUCACUCAUUGUACAUCCCAAAUGGCACCCUAUUUCCUUUAUAGUGUACUACUUUUGAUCAGGGCCAGAAUUAAAGGAGUAGGUUGCCAUUUAUGGCACAGCCUCAGUGUUCCAGUGAAUAAUAUAUAUCACAGACAGAUGAUGGUUUGGAAAGGGUUGGUGCUGCCAGUGCCAAGCGUUUUAAAUGGUUCAAGCUGGCUCAACAGAGCAAUGUUCACCUAGUAUUUGUAUUUGUAUUUAUUAUGGAUCCCCAUUAUUUUCUGCCAAGGUAGCAGCUACUCUUCCUGGGGUCAGGCAAAAUUAAGGCAGUUAUAUAAUUGUAAAAACAUUAGAAUACCUUCAUAACAGAUUUCACAACACACUAAGUGUGUGCCCUCAGGCCCCUACUCCACUACCACAUAUCUACAAAACAAAAUCCAUGUGUACGUGUGUAUAGUGCGUAUGUUAUCAUGUGUGUAUGCAUGUGUCUGCGCCUAUGUUUGUGUUGCUUCACAGUCCCCGCUGUUUCAUAAGGUGUAUUUUUAUCUGUUUUUUUAAAUCUGAUUCUACUGCUUGCAUCAGUUACCUGAUGUGGAAUAGAGUUCCACGUAUUCAUGGCUCUAUGUAGUACUGUGCGCCUCCCAUAGUCUGUUCUGGACUUGGGGACUGUGAAGAGACCUCUGAUGGCAUGUCUUGUGAGGUAUGCAUGGGUGUCUGAGCU